UCUAUGAGUGUGUGCAGCUCGGGAUGUGACAGCAUGCUGGCUGCUGCGGUUCCAUCGGAAAAAAGAAAAAAAAAUGAACAAAACUAAAUAAGCUCAGCUCUCUCUCAGUUUUCCGUCUUUUUUUGCUGCUCUUAUUGUUUUUUGGCGACAGUGAUAAAGAGAGCAGUGAAGUCGGGGGGCCCUUUUUUUGGAAUUAGAACAUAAGCAUUGCUGUUUUUCUGACUUUGAGAGAGAAGAGAGAAGAGACUCCUCUGGAAUUUCCCAAGGAAUGUGUCCAGGCGACUCUGUCACUGGGGCUUUAUGUUCUCCUGCCAGGGUGCAUCGUAAGUAACAGCUACUUUUUUUCUUUUAUAUAUUUGCACCAAAGAUGUGGGCUGCUGUGCGUUUCUUUGGAACAGAG